CACGGUAGGGGGCGAGCGUUGUCCGGAAUCAUUUGGGACGUAAAGAGCUCGUAGGCGGCUCAGUAAGUCGGGAUGUGAAACCCCCAGGCUCAACCUGGGGACGCCACUCGAUAACUGCUGUGGCUAGAGUCCAGUAGAGGAGUGUGGAAUUCCCGGUGUAGCGGUGAAAUGCGCAGAUAUCAGGAGGAACACCAAUUGCGAAGGCAGCUCGCUGGAACGUAACUGACGCUGAGACGCGAAAGCGUGGGAGCAAACAGG
rnacentral:rRNA from 1 species